GAUGAACGCUAGCGGCAGGCCUAACACAUGCAAGUCGAGGGGCAGCACAGAAACAGCAAUGUUUUGGUGGCGACCAGCGGACGGGUGCGUAACGCGUAUGCAACCUACCUUUAACAGGGGGAUAACGGAGAGAAAUUUCCACUAAUACCCCAUAACAUCGAUCAAGGCAUCUUGAUUGGUUGAAAACUCCGGUGGUUAAAGAUGGGCAUGCGUUGUAUUAGGUAGUUGGUGAGGUAAUGGCUCACCAAGCCUACGAUACAUAGGGGGACUGAGGGGUUAGCCCCCCCACACUGGUACUGAGACACGGACCAGACUCCUACGGGAGGCAGCAGGGAGGAAUAUUGGUCAAUGGGGGCAACCCUGAACCAGCCAUGCCGCGUGCAGGAAGACGGCUCUAUGAGUUGUAAACUGCUUUUAAACAGGGAUAAAGCACAGUAUGUAUACUGUGUUGAAGGUACUGUAAGAAUAAGGAUCGGCUAACUCCGUGCCAGCAGCCGCCGUAA
rnacentral:rRNA from 1 species